CCUACGGGUGGCAGCAGUGGGGAAUAUUGCGCAAUGGGCGAAAGCCUGACGCAGCGACGCCGCGUGAGGGAUGAAGGUCUUCGGAUCGUAAACCUCUGUCAGCAGGGAAGAACGGUCACUGUGCUAAUCAGCAGUGAAUUGACGGUACCUGCAAAGGAAGCACCGGCUAACUCCGUGCCAGCAGCCGCGGUAAUACGGAGGGUGCUGGCGUUAAUCGGAAUUACUGGGCGUAAAGCGCUCGUAGGCGGUAUGUCAAGUCAAGGGUGAAAUCCCCGCGCUCAACGUGGGAAGUGCCUGUGAAACUGGCAGACUGGAGUUUGUGAGAGGAUAGUGGAAUUCGAGGUGUAGGAGUGAAAUCCGUAGAUAUCUGGAGGAACAUCGGUGGCGAAAGCGACUAUCUGGCACAUAACUGACGCUGAGGAGCGAAAGCGUGGGUAGCAAACAGGAUUAGAUACCCGAGUAGUC
rnacentral:rRNA from 1 species